ACAGUUUGGAUUUCUGCUAUGGAUCCAUUUAUCCGUCCCGGGGAGUCAACACAGAUAUACUUGUCGAAACCCUAAAUUUGCCAAACUAUAAUCUCUUGCAACUAUAUAAAUCUCCCCAACCCUACAUCUAAUCCUAAAACAGCCGAUAUCUGAAAUCUCCGCCCCAAGAUCUAAUAGUUCUCCUAAUCUUCGUUAUCUCAUUAGCAUCUAUCUAUGAUCCUCAGUGCUCUUUAUAAAACAAUAGCUCUAGAGGAUACGAAAAGAUGCAAUAUCAAAGGUACUUCUGGACACGCAGUUUCCAGAAUUUGGAUUUGUUUGUAUCUUUUUCCUUAUGGAUUAUUGCGUUUUCUCAUCUCGGAGGUUAGGCGGUUUCUCUUUGGUUUAACGCAAAGUUGCUAUGCUUCUAGUGUUUGAUUUUGGCCUAAUGAUUCUGUUUCCUAGGAGCUGGAGGAUAAUAUCCUCUUCUUUUAGAUUAUGGAGGAAAGCUUUUAUCAAGCUCCAGAAGUACUGGCUGUUUUGUGUUAAAUUUCAGAGGUAAAAUGCUUGCCUUCUUGGUCUUAUAUGUGGAAAAUCUUGGCCUAAUUCUGAGAGCAAUUAAUCAUCACAUAAUUUUCCUUUUUGUUUCAUAUGAGAGAUAUCUUUCCCAUUGUUUGAAAGAAAUUUAUUUGGUCUUGUUA